UACGUAGGGUGCGAGCGUUGUCCGGAAUUAUUGGGCGUAAAGAGCUCGUAGGCGGUGUGUCACGUCGGCCGUGAAAACCUGCAGCUUAGCUGUGGGCGUGCGGUCGAUACGGGCAUCACUGGAGUUCGGCAGGGGAGACUGGAAUUCCUGGUGUAGCGGUGAAAUGCGCAGAUAUCAGGAGGAACACCGGUGGCGAAGGCGGGUCUCUGGGCCGAUACUGACGCUGAGGAGCGAAAGCGUGGGGAGCAAACAGG
rnacentral:rRNA from 1 species